rnacentral:lncRNA from 1 species
CAGAGGCAGUGAGGCGCCAGCGCCGCGACCGCUGCGAGGUCAGCACGGCCAAAAACAGACAUAACUAAUGCAAAUGCUAAACAGGGCUAAAGGUGAAGAAUGGCCGCGUCUCCUGAGUCCUGAUGGAGUGACGCGAAACGGAGCUGUUCUGAGAAACGAGUGCAGGAUGAAUGUGUUAUCGGCUGUGCUAAUGGUGCUCGGGACGCAGAUAUCCGAGACCGGCACCCAACUUUGGGCUUCUCAGAGACUGGCCGAUCAAUCCUGCCAGCACGUCAAACAGAGAGCAGUGAUCGUAUCAUGCAUCAUCUCUGGAUCCUUUCUUCUAGAAAUACAAGGUGCUCUGAGCUUCUUCCUUUGACCCAUUGACACACUCACACACUGCUGCUCAGACUGGCCCGACAACUCCAUUAAGAUACUUGGGAUCUCAGAUCUUCUACAGACUACAAUUUCAACAUGGACUGAGUCUGUUUCCUAACAACUUAAACUAAAGGUUCUCAUCUAAGGAGACAACAAGCGGUCGGUCUGUUUUAAUUUGAACUAUGUUGAGUACAUUAAUGGAUAACAAUUACUAACAUUUACAAUAAAAUGUACAAUUGUUUGUAUUGUUUAUUGAUAAGAAUAGCCUGUAAAUAACACGAGGCUCUGCGACGUCUGCAGUGUGGAGGAUGGAAUUGAGGUAUUCAGUCAUAAAGAGUGGGUUUUUGGCAAAUUUUGGAUGAAUAAAACAAAAGUGGUAAAGUACACCAAAUAAAAUCAUGAUAUGAACUAAUGUCUGUGAAUAUUAAAUGUUAAAAAUACUAUUUAAAUAGGAGUUAUGCUUAUGUGUGAAUGAAUUAUGUGGUCAUUUAUUACACAUACCUGACGCUUGUGGUAUUUUCAAGGUCUUAAGUUCACACCAUAAGGGCCACAUUACAAGCAUUUAACAGUUUAAUUCAAACACACACAAUGAUUUUUUAUACAUAAAGAACUCAAGUGUCUUAGUGACAGCCUGUCAAAUUAAAAAUUGUGGUUGAAGAAAUUCUGACAGAAAUAGAUGACUGGAGUAUAAUGUGGCACUGAAGACUGGAAUAAUGAUGCCAACAGUUCAGCUUUGACAUCUCAAGGCUAAAUUACAUUUGAAAACAUAUUAAAACAUAUUUUACAUUCUAUUUAUGAUUCUCAUUGUUUUAUUCUCCUUGUUAAUCAAAUAAUGCUUUGGUGACACUCCAAAAUCCAAAUGGAAUUGUAUAUUAUUUAGAAUACAAUUUUUUUUAGAAUCCUAUGUAAACAGUUUCAUAGAAAAUUGCAAAAGCCCUAAUAUAGUAGCACUGCAAUCAUAUUGACACUGCACAGAUAUUGGAAUCUCAUGCAUGCUGCUUAAUUACUAAUGCUCACUCUUUUCCCAAAC